AAUCAACGCUGGCGGCGUGCCUCAGACAUGCAAGUCGAACGAUUAAGACUUCCUUCGGGAAGUGCAUAAAGUGGCGCACGGGUGAGUAACACGUAAGUAAUCUACCCUCGAGUGGGGAAUAACGUUCGGAAACGAACGCUAAUACCGCAUAACGCAGCGGCACCGCAAGGUGACAGUUGUUAAAGGAGCGAUCCGCUUGAGGAGGAGCUUGCGGCAGAUUAGCUAGUUGGUAAGGUAAUGGCUUACCAAGGCUACGAUCUGUAUCCGGUCUAAGAGGACGGUCGGACACACUGACACUGAAUAACGGGUCAGACUCCUACGGGAGGCAGCAGUCGGGAAUUUUGGGCAAUGGGCGAAAGCCUGACCCAGCAACGCCGCGUGAAGGAUGAAGUAUUUCGGUAUGUAAACUUCGAAAGAAUGGGAAGAAUAAAUGACGGUACCAUUUAUAAGCUCCGGCUAACUACGUGCCAGCCGCCGCAGUAAGAC
rnacentral:rRNA from 1 species